rnacentral:rRNA from 1 species
UACGUAGGUGGCGAGCGUUGUCCGGAUUUACUGGGCGUAAAGGGAGCGUAGGCGGACUUUUAAGUGAGAUGUGAAAUACUCGGGCUCAACUUGAGUGCUGCAUUUCAAACUGGAAGUCUAGAGUGCAGGAGAGGAGAAUGGAAUUCCUAGUGUAGCGGUGAAAUGCGUAGAGAUUAGGAAGAACACCAGUGGCGAAGGCGAUUCUCUGGCCUGUAACUGACACUGAGGCUCGAAAGCGUGGGGAGCAAACAGG